rnacentral:rRNA from 1 species
CUAUACAUGACUCUGCGCAUAUCAAUAAGCGGAGGAAAAGAAACUAACAAGGAUUCCCCUAGUAACGGCGAGUGAAGCGGGAAGAGCUCAAAUUUGAAAUCUUAAAGGGUUUCCCUUUACGAAUUGUAGUUUAAAGAAGUGUUUUCUGUUGAGGUUUUGGUAAAAGUUCUUUGGAAUAGGACAUCAUAGAGGGUGAGAAUCCCGUAUUUGACCUUUACUUUCAACUUUGUGAUACACUUUCAAAGAGUCGGAUUGUCUGGGAAUGCAGUCCUAAAUGGGUGGUAAAUUUCAUCUAAAGCUAAAUAUUGGCGAGAGACCGAUAGCGAACAAGUACCGUGAGGGAAAGAUGAAAAGAACUUUGAAAAGAGAGUUAAACAGUACGUGAAAUUGUCAAAAGGGAAGCGUUUGACACCAGUGUUGUUUUUCUGAAAAUCAAUUAAAGAACUGUUUAUGCUAAGCUGUUUAGACUUUAUCAGCUAAUCUGUUUAGUUAUGAGCUUUUCUUUAAUGCACUUUUCAGUUAACAAGUCAACAUCAAUUUCUUUUGCUGUAAAAAAGCUUGAGGAAGGUGGCUUGAGAUUCGUCUUAAGUGUUUAUAGCCUCUUGCCUAUGCAGUCGGAGAGAUUGAGGUCUGCAGCGUAGAUCCUUCGGGGCUAAAUGCAUUUGUGCUAAGUUAUAGCAUUUUAUAGACAACUUGUUGACUAUGAUUUGUCUUGUAGCUUACUCGCUUAUGUUAUUUUACCUACGCUUAGGAUGUUGAUCUACAGAGCGAGAGU